UCCUCGAUAGUUUAAAGGCCUAGAACGCUGGUACGGAAUACAAGAGAUCCGGGUUCGAUUUCCGGCCGAGGUA
rnacentral:tRNA from 1 species